rnacentral:rRNA from 1 species
AGUGAACGCUGGCGGUAGGCCUAACACAUGCAAGUCGAACGGCAGCACAGUAAGAGCUUGCUCUUACGGGUGGCGAGUGGCGGACGGGUGAGGAAUACAUCGGAAUCUACUUUUUCGUGGGGGAUAACGUAGGGAAACUUACGCUAAUACCGCAUACGACCUACGGGUGAAAGCAGGGGAUCUUCGGACCUUGCGCGAUUGAAUGAGCCGAUGUCGGAUUAGCUAGUUGGCGGGGUAAAGGCCCACCAAGGCGACGAUCCGUAGCUGGUCUGAGAGGAUGAUCAGCCACACUGGAACUGAGACACGGUCCAGACUCCUACGGGAGGCAGCAGUGGGGACUAUUGGACAAUGGGCGCAAGCCUGAUCCAGCCAUACCGCGUGGGUGAAGAAGGCCUUCGGGUUGUAAAGCCCUUUUGUUGGGAAAGAAAAGCAGCAGGUUAAUACCCCGCUGUUCUGACGGUACCCAAAGGAUAAGCACCGGCUAACUUCGUG